rnacentral:rRNA from 1 species
GAGGGGUGCAAGCGUUAUUCGGAAUCAUUGGGCGUAAAGGGUGUGUAGACGGCGCAUUAAGUCAAUUGUUAAAUCCUUCGGCCUAACCGAAGGUCUGCAGUAGAAACUGAUGCGAUAGAGGAUGGAAGAGAGAAGUGGAAUUCUCGGAGUAGCGGUAAAAUGCGUAGAUCUCGAGAGGAACACCAAUGGCGAAGGCAGCUUCUUGGUCCAUUUCUGACGUUGAGACACGAAAGCGUGGGGGAGCAAACAGGAUUAGAUACCCUGGUAGUCCACGCCGUAAACGAUGAUCACUAGACGUUAGCUCUGUUUACAGAGUUAGUGUCGCAGCUAACGCGUUAAGUGAUCCGCCUGGGACUACGGUCGCAAGACUA